rnacentral:rRNA from 1 species
GACGAACGCUGGCGGCGUGCUUAACACAUGCAAGUCGAACGGAAAGGCCCUGCUUUUGUGGGGUGCUCGAGUGGCGAACGGGUGAGUAACACGUGAGUAACCUGCCCUUGACUUUGGGAUAACUUCAGGAAACUGGGGCUAAUACCGGAUAGCAGCUCCUGCUGCAUGGUGGGGGUUGGAAAGUUUCGGCGGUUGGGGAUGGACUCGCGGCUUAUCAGCUUGUUGGUGGGGGAGUGGCUUACCAAGGCUUUGACGGGUAGCCGGCCUGAGAGGGUGACCGGCCACAUUGGGACUGAGAGACGGCCCAGACUCCUACGGGAGGCAGCAGUGGGGAAUAUUGCACAAUGGGCGGAAGCCUGAUGCAGCAACGCCGCGUGCGGGAUGACGGCCUUCGGGUUGUAAACCGCUUUCGCCUGUGACGAAGCGUGAGUGACGGUAAUGGGUAAAGAAGCACCGGCUAACUACGUG